GAUGAACGCUGGCGGCGUGCCUAAUACAUGCAAGUCGAGCGAACAGAUGAGGAGCUUUCUCCUCAGACGUUAGCGGCGGACGGGUGCGUACCGCGUGGUAACACUACCUUUAACUCUGGGUUAACUUCGGAAAACCGGAGCUAAUACCGGCUAAUAUCUCAUACCGCAUGGUUCAAUAGUGAAAGACGGUGUUACUGUCACUCAUGGAUGGAUCCGCGCCGCAUUAGCUAGUUGGUAAGGUAACGGCUUACCAAGGCAACGAUGCGUAGCCGACCUGAGAGGGUGAUCGGCCACACUGGAACUGAGACACGGUCCAGACUCCUACGGGAGGCAGCAGUAGGGAAUCUUCCGCAAUGGGCGAAAGCCUGACGGAGCAACGCCGCGUGAGUGAUGAAGGUUUUCGGAUCGUAAAACUCUGUUAUUAGGGAAGAACAAAUGUGUAAGUAACUAUGCACGUCCUGACGGUACCUAAUCAGAAAGCCACGGCUAACUACGUG
rnacentral:rRNA from 1 species